rnacentral:sRNA from 1 species
CCCUAGCCCUGAUGGAAGCGGCAUCCUUUUGUGCAGCAAAGCGGAACAAAAGAUACAGCGGACAGCAGGAAACAGC